AGAGUUUGAUCCUGGCUCAGAAUGAAUGCUGGCGGCGUGCUUAACACAUGCAAGUCGAGCGAGAAAGUUUCUUCGGAAAUGAGUAAAGCGGCGAACGGUUGAAUAACACGUGAGAAUCUACCUUUUAGUGAGGAAUACCUCCGAGAAAUCGGAGUUAAUACCGCAUAAGUCUGUAUAGCAAUAUAUAGAGAAAGAUGGCCUCUUUGCUAUCGCUGAAAGAUGAGCUUGCGUACUAUCAGUUAGUUGGUAGGGUAAUGGCCUACCAAGACUAUGACGGUUAGCCGGCCUGAGAGGGUGGUCGGCCAGACUGGAACUUAGACACGGUCCAGACUCCUACGGGAGGCAGCAGUGGGGAAUCUUGCGCAAUGGGCGAAAGCCUGACGCAGCGACGCCGCGUGAAGGAUGAAGGCCUACGGGUUGUAAACUUCUGUUAAGUGGGAAGAAAGGCUCAAUUUUAAUAAAGUUGUGAGAUGACUGUACCAUUAGAGAAAGCACUGGCUAAACUCGUGCCAGCAGCCGCGGUAAUACGAGUGGUGCGAGCAUUAUUCGGAAUCAUUGGGCGUAAAGGGUGUGUAGGCGGCAUAUCAAGUCUGUUGUUAAAUCUCCCAGCCUAACUGGGAAAAUGCGGUGGAAACUGAUGUGCUAGAAGAUGGAAGAGAGAAGUGGAAUUCUCGGAGUAGCGGUAAAAUGCGUAGAUCUCGAGAGGAACACCAAUGGCGAAGGCAGCUUCUUGGUCCAAUCUUGACGCUGAGACACGAAAGCGUGGGUAGCAAACAGGAUUAGAUACCCUGGUAGUCCACGCCCUAAACGAUGAUCACUUGAUGUUGGUUUUGCUUUUUGCGAAGUCAGUAUCGUAGCUAACGCGAUAAGUGAUCCGCCUGGGAAUUACGGUCGCAAGACUAAAACUCAAAGGAAUUGACGGGGGUCCGCACAAGCGGUGGAACAUGUGGUUUAAUUCGACACUACGCGAGGAACCUUACCUAGGUUUGACAUGCAUUUGACAGUUGUAGAAACACAAUCUUUUAGGCUUCGGUCUAGACAGAUGCACAGGUGCUGCAUGGCUGUCGUCAGCUCGUGUCGUGAGAUGUUUGGUUAAGUCCUCUAACGAGCGCAACUCUCGCUUUCAGUUGCUAUCAUUUUAUGAGCACUCUGAAAGGACUGCCUGGGAAACCAGGAGGAAGGUGGGAAUGACGUCAAGUCCUCAUGGCCCUUAUACCUAGGGCAACACACGUGUUACAAUGGCCAGUACAAAGGGUUGCCAACUUGCAAAAGUGAGCUAAUCCCAUAAAGCUGGUCUAAGUUCGGAUUGGAGUCUGCAACUCGACUCCAUGAAGUUGAAAUCGCUAGUAAUCGCAUAUCAGAACGAUGCGGUGAAUACGUUCUCGGACCUUGUACACACCGCCCGUCACACCAUGAGAGCUGCUUGUACCCAAAGUUAUUUUAGCUGACCCGUAAGGGAGGCGAAUACCUAAGGUAUGGGUGGUGAUUGGGGUGAAGUCGUAACAAGGUA
rnacentral:rRNA from 1 species